GAUGAACGCUAGCGGCAGGCUUAACACAUGCAAGUCGAGGGGUAUUUAUCUUCGGAUAGAGAGACCGGCGCACGGGUGCGUAACGCGUAUGCAAUCUACCUUUUACAGAGGGAUAGCCCAGAGAAAUUUGGAUUAAUACCUCAUAGUAUAUAGACUCGGCAUCGAGAUUAUAUUAAAGUCACAACGGUAAAAGAUGAGCAUGCGUCCCAUUAGCUAGUUGGUAAGGUAACGGCUUACCAAGGCUACGAUGGGUAGGGGUCCUGAGAGGGAGAUCCCCCACACUGGUACUGAGACACGGACCAGACUCCUACGGGAGGCAGCAGUGAGGAAUAUUGGACAAUGGGCGCAAGCCUGAUCCAGCCAUGCCGCGUGCAGGAGGACGGUCCUAUGGAUUGUAAACUGCUUUUAUACGAGAAGAAACACUGCUACGUGUAGCAGCUUGACGGUAUCGUAAGAAUAAGAAUCGGCUAACUCCGUG
rnacentral:rRNA from 1 species